rnacentral:lncRNA from 1 species
AGCACAAUGCUCAACGCAUAUUUGGUUAGAAUAUGCCAUGAACGCUGAAUGACUGGCACAGGAAAUCCCUUGUGGUGAAGCUUAAGCCAGUCCCUUUUAGUUUUAUUUCUGGAGCGAUGGGAAACACGGGUGAGGGGGCGGGGAUGGGUGGUGGUGGGGGAGGAAACUAAAGGAGAUUCUGGGAGAGGCUGGGGGUGCUUCUACCCUUGUUUCCAGGACUCCUGGGCAGAGGUUCUUUAGCUGGAUCUGCGACUGGUCCCCAAAUAGCCACAGGCAGGGCUCCACCCCUCCCCGACUUUCCUCCAGCCAAUCGGAACCUCCUCCCUACCCAGGACCCUGAAAAGCGUGUUUACUUCUAAAUCCAUAUCCUGUUUGCCCAGCCUCCAACCAAGCUCAUUUAAACCCUCACUCCACCUCGUCAUCCAGCCAGGGCCCACUCCACUUCCAUUGCCCACCUUCACUUUCCUCCUGGAUUCCGGGCUAAGCCACCUUCUUCCCGUUUUCCCAUCCCUUCCCAAGGCCCCGCCCCGCCCCACUUCCUGGCUCUGCUGAGACAAGCUCGUUUCCUCUCCCUGGGUUUGGCUUGCAGUUUUCUCCUCAGGUCUUUCCCCUUGAGGUAGAAAAAGCCCACGGGUGGCUUCCCUGGUAUCUCCAUACUUCGCCUGUAGGUCCACUUUCACUCAUCUUCAGUGAAAGCAGGAAGGGCCCAAGGACCACCCUGCAUAACAAAGUUGAAGGAAACAGGAAUGCUCAAAAGCACUGCCCAUCUCCGACCCUGCCGUUCACAGCUUCCUCACCUGGGAUUGUUGCUCAGCGUCCAUGGAUGGACUUCAGAGGCGUGUGUGACAUUUUCCUGAGGUUGGCUGGACAGAAGACACAAUUCUUGAGGUUCAAGGAACUGCUAAAGGAGAACUGUGGCCCCCACGAGUCUGUAUCUUCAAGAAGUCUGUGGAUAGAAAGAAGCAGCAGAAGCUGGAGAUCCUUCUUACCGGUGGCAAGGUCUGGGGCUUUUGGAAGUGCCUACGAGCAGUGCCAUCCUAAUCUGAGUGCAGACAGAUGGGCCUCUCCUCUGAAACCAGAGACUGAGUUUGGCUUCGGAGUAUUAAGGUUAGCAGGCCAGAGGCAGUUUUCUUGAAGACAUCUAUACCUAAAAUUCCAGCAGUUGCCACCAGGUGCCUCAGUGCUGAUUUCGCUUUGGGUCAUCUAAAGAGAGCAGGAGAGAGCUUGGAAAACUCCCUCAGACGCUCAUUCGCCUCCACGAACAAACAGCCUGGAUUCCCUGCUGGUCGGCUGGACCAGGAAGAAAGGGUGGGAGCUAGUCAGCCAUGGAUCUUAAGCUCCAGCUGUUUGAGAAUAUGUUUCUUUUCUCUUGCCCUCUCCCUCGUCUCAUCUUUUCUAUCCUUCACCCGGUUCUCCUAAUCCUUCGAAAGAGAGGCACAAGGUUUUCUUCUCCCCAGAGCAACCAGAGAGAGAAAGCAAAAAAGCUUUCGCUCCAAGGAACUCUGCUCCUGUUUUAUGGGGUUUGUCAAUAACGUUCCUUCACUAAGAUAGCAUCUCAGCAGAAUGAAAGAGCCCUCUGCUCUUCGUGAAAAGAGCUGUUUUCUCUUGGGGGUGUGGGGGGGUCAUUAAAUAAACCUGUUUUUUAAAAAAGU